AUGACUCGGGCUGGUCUCGGCCGCGCUUCGUGUCCGGUUCCGCUGCGAGCACAGCGACUCCCUUGCGCUUCACGUGUGUGGCCUUGUGAUACGUCUCCAACGUAUCUAUAA
rnacentral:rRNA from 1 species